rnacentral:rRNA from 1 species
GUCGAGAAUAAUUCACAAUGGACGAAAGUCUGAUGGUGCAACGCCGCGUGGAGGAUGACGGUCUUCGGAUUGUAAACUCCUGUCAUCCGGGAGUAAGACCUGGCUGUGAAUAGCAGACAGGGUUGAUAGUACCGGAAGAGGAAGGGACGGCUAACUUCGUGCCAGCAGCCGCGGUAAUACGAAGGUCCCGAGCGUUGUUCGGAAUCACUGGGCGUAAAGGGAGCGUAGGCGGCGUGGUAAGUCAGAUGUGAAAUCCCGGGGCUCAACCCCGGAGCGGCAUCGGAUACUGCCGGGCUAGAGGAUUGGGGAGGUAGCUGGAAUUCUUGGUGUAGCAGUGAAAUGCGUGGAGAUCAAGAGGAACACUCGUGGCGAAAGCGAGCUACUGGACAAUAUCUGACGCUGAGGCUCGAAGGCCAGGGUAGCGAAAGGGAUUAGAUACCCGGGUAGUCC